GUACACGCUGUGACUAGCAUAUCAAUAAGCGGAGGAAAAGAAACUAACAAGGAUUCCCCUAGUAACGGCGAGUGAAGCGGGAAGAGCUCAAAUUUGAAAUCUUAAAGGGUUUCCCUUUACGAAUUGUAGUUUAAAGAAGUGUUUUCUGUUGAGGUUUUGGUAAAAGUUCUUUGGAAUAGGACAUCAUAGAGGGUGAGAAUCCCGUAUUUGACCUUUACUUUCAACUUUGUGAUACACUUUCAAAGAGUCGGAUUGUUUGGGAAUGCAGUCCAAAAUGGGUGGUAAAUUUCAUCUAAAGCUAAAUAUUGGCGAGAGACCGAUAGCGAACAAGUACCGUGAGGGAAAGAUGAAAAGAACUUUGAAAAGAGAGUUAAACAGUACGUGAAAUUGUCAAAAGGGAAGCGUUUGACACCAGUGUUGUUUUUCUGAAAAUCAGUUAAAGAACUGUUUAUGCUAAGCUGUUUAGACUUUAUCAGCUAACUGUUUAGUUUUGAGCUUUUCUUUAAUGCACUUUUCAGUUAACAAGUCAACAUCAAUUUCUUUUGCUGUAAAAAAGCUUGAGGAAGGUGGCUUGAGAUUCGUCUUAAGUGUUUAUAGCCUCUUGCCUAUGCAGUCGGAGAGAUUGAGGUCUGCAGCGUAGAUCCUUCGGGGCUAAAUGCAUUUGUGCUAAGUUAUAGCAUUUUAUAGACAACUUGUUGACUAUGAUUUGUCUUGUAGCUUACUCGCUUAUGUUAUUUUACCUACGCUUAGGAUGUUGACGCGCGUGUGUGCGUG
rnacentral:rRNA from 1 species